GCUUGUUGCUGUGUUUUAGGAGCAUUAGGGAAAAUACAGAUAGUCUGGCAUUUUAUUACUCAUAUUUCUCUGCUCUUAAUGACUGAAUGGAGCACGACUUGCUAAUGAACUAGGCAGAAAUGAAUGCAUUUGUGGCACUAAUUGAAAUAAACCCAAGGUCUGGCUUUUCAAAAGGAGCAAAACCUCUAGCACUCUCAAAAAAAAAAAAAAAAAAAAAAAAAAANNNNNNNNNNCCUCUUUUCUGCCUUUAACCCCUGCCUGCUGUCUUUCACUACAGCUGCGUUCUGGUGUAACAGAGCAAGGCACCCUCUGCUUGCAGGAACCAGGGAUUCGUGGUGCAGGAUGCUGGGGAAAGGGCUUGGUGUUGCUCCCUUCCUCGUCUAUAAAAGCAGCUCAUUAGGGGCAGUAGGGUUCCCAGGUAGCAGAGGGUGAUGUGGAGAUGGCUUGGGAGCACGUGGAUGGAGGACGGGCGAGACACUGCAUUACACAAGUGUGGCACAAGGAAGCUGCAUCUCUGCUGACCGAUGUGGAAGAGGCUCACCAGGCACACGCGUGGCUGGAGGAGAGUUACUCUGGCUUUACACCACACCAAGCGAGGACGGACUGCAGCAUUCAGGAUGCAGACAGAGGAGCAGUCCUCCAUGGAUCGGUGAGAUUUUCAGACAGAUCAAAUGUUGAGCUUCAGGUAAUUGGCAGAGAUCCUUUAAUGUCUGAGUUUAACACUCACCUACUAGAAGAGAACACAAUUAGGCAAUGAGAUGUGGAAGAGUCUGAAGUGCCAGGUAUAAUAAUUCAGCUGUAGUAGGCUGUUCAGCAGAAAGCUGAAGGCUGAGAGCUGUCAAUUACACCAGGGGUGAAUUAAUACAACCAAAUUCAUGCACUGAAGCAUCUUAUUAUUGCUAUGAUCACAUUUUAUUAUGAAG
rnacentral:lncRNA from 1 species